CCUACGGGGUGCUGCAGUGGGGAAUAUUGGACAAUGGGCGAAAGCCUGAUCCAGCCAUGCCGCGUGUGUGAAGAAGGCCUUCGGGUUGUAAAGCACUUUCAGUGGGGAAGAAAGCCUUGGGGCUAAUACCCUCGAGGAAGGACAUCACCCACAGAAGAAGCACCGGCUAACUCCGUGCCAGCAGCCGCGGUAAUACGGAGGGUGCGAGCGUUAAUCGGAAUUACUGGGCGUAAAGCGCGCGUAGGCGGUCUGAUAAGCCGGUUGUGAAAGCCCCGGGCUCAACCUGGGAACGGCAUCCGGAACUGUCAGGCUAGAGUGCAGGAGAGGAAGGUAGAAUUCCCGGUGUAGCGGUGAAAUGCGUAGAGAUCAGGAGGAAUACCAGUGGCGAAGGCGGCCUUCUGGACUGACACUGACGCUGAGGUGCGAAAGCGUGGGUAGCAAACAGGAUUAGAUACCCUAGUAGUC
rnacentral:rRNA from 1 species